UACGGAGGGUGCAAGCGUUAAUCGGAAUUACUGGGCGUAAAGCGCGCGUAGGUGGUUCGAUAAGCGGGAUGUGAAAGCCCCCGGGCUUAACCUGGGAACGGCAUUCCGAACUGUCGGGCUAGAGUAUGGUAGAGGGUAGUGGAAUUUCCUGUGUAGCGGGUGAAAUGCGUAGAUAUAGGAAGGAACACCAGUGGCGAAGGCGGCUACCUGGACCAAUACUGACACUGAGGUGCGAAAGCGUGGGGAGCAAACAGGAUUAGAUACCCCCGUAGU
rnacentral:rRNA from 1 species